rnacentral:SRP_RNA from 1 species
GCCGGGAGCUGUGGCGAGCUCUUGUAAACUGGCUUCUCAGUGGCUUAGUCUGGGGAUGAUCUGCCAAUCGGGUCAACGUUUGUCUCCUAGUCGUUGGUGACCGAGCGUCCGUACCAAGCGUAGCGUCGAUAGGCUAACUGUGAAGGAAUUCAUCGUUAACCGGUCGAUUAAAGCAAGAUGUAUGGCUCAGGACCGAAAGGGAGCAGGCAAAAGUCUUCGCGCUAUGACAGUGGUCGGAUGGCGCACGAGAGGCGUCUGGUUUCAAACGCCAGUUGUAUAUGGUUACACCCAUUCUUUU